GGAGAGGGUUAUUGGGUUGAGAGAUUUUUGUUUUUAAUUAUAUUCCCCCCAACACACCCACCCACACGUCAUACAAAUGGUAUCAUACACGUCCAACAUCUGUAUCUUCCACACAAGUCCUGAGCAACCCAACACAAACACACCCCUUCAACACUUCACACCUCCCACUUUGCCUCCAACUGAACCUCACGCCAUACAUCCACAGCAUACUUCCAGUGACACCCACACAACAGCACCCAACUCCACAAGACAAACACACACACACACACACAAAUGUUCAUGCAAGUUGUACUGCACACAUCCAUCCAGAACAGCAUCUCAAGUGCCACCCACAUCCCAUUCUGGACACCACCAGCACCAUCUCAAUGACAUCCCCACCCCCACAUUCACCUCAACACAGCACACCCUCAGAUCCUCCACGCUGAUUCACCCAGGUCAGGACUGAAGACUCAUGCCAGCAGGUGGAGCUGUUCUCAGUACACAAAGGCUACUGGGCUCUGACAGAGGGGACUCCAAGGACUUCCCAACCCCAAGAGACUUUUGUAGGCAGGCUGGAAGCAUAGAAAUUGCACCAAAGGCCCCAAUGGGAGACCAAAAUACACCUCCCCAAAAUAUACUUAUUUGGCAUAUUACAUGAUGGCUAUUCAGAGAAAUGCUGAAGUCUGUAAAAGACACAUUUAUAAAGGAAAUUUACAUUAUAAAAAGUAAGCGGUAUUUGCUAGUGAUGGCUUUCUCUCCAGUCCCCUCUGAGGUAGAGUAGGAGAAAAUAAGAAAGAGGAAGAAAGGAGAUAUGAAGGAAGGGCAAGGAAAUCAAAAUUUAAAUUCAGAAGUUUUAUAUACUUUUCUAGGCCUAAGACAGUCUCUCUCUCAGGCCUGUCAAUCCCAAAUUUCUGGAAAAUAAGUAAAUUUGUCUUGAGUAUGAUUAAUUAUCCCCCAAUACAUAGAUUAAGCAAAGAGAGAUAUGACAUUUUAAGAAAUCUACUAUUUAGGUGGACUUUCCA
rnacentral:lncRNA from 1 species